rnacentral:tRNA from 1 species
GAACAUAGUCUAAUGGUAUGAUUCUCGCUUUGGGUGCGAGAGGUUCCGGGUUCGAUUCCCGGUGUUC